AUGAAAUCUAAAGCGGUUUUUGUGCGGCCACUUAGUGAGUUUGUAUCACUGUGGUACACUUUUGGCGGAGGAACCAAACUCAUCGUUAACUUGGGUGUGUUGAGGCCCACCCUGACUGUCCUCCCUCCUUCUAAAGAGGAGGAGAAGAAAAGCAGUGCCACUCUGGUGUGUCUGGCCACUGGAGGGUUCCCCUCAGGUUGGAAGCUGGGCUGGAAGGUGGGGGGCUGUAGCCCAUCUUCAGGGCUGUCAAACAGCCUGGAGGUCUUGGGGACAGAUGGUCGUUACAGCUGGAGCAGCACCCUGAGCCUCUCUGCAGACCAGUGGAGGAAGGCGGGCUCAGUUAGCUGUGAGGCCAGUCUGAGUGGACAGAGCCCCAUCACUCAAACCCUGGACCCUGACCAGUGCUCAGAGUAGAGCUUCAGCAACACUUCCUGUCUACAAAUGAUGUUUUCGAAUCUACAGAUCUCUGUUCCAGUGUGUCUGUAAAACUAUGUUUGAUCUUUCGAGAAAUGUUCAUAUUCAUGUUCUGCUUCUUGCCCACUAUAAUAAGCAGUGUUGGUCAAGUUACUUGAAAAAGUAAUCAGUAACUAAUUACUGAUUACUUCCCCAAAAAAGUAAU